CUUCUCAGCUCCUGGCACUGCAAACUAAUGAUGCAGAUAUGUGGUCUAUCCAGCCUGUAAACAAAGAGAGGGGAUGCAGUGAUGAUUUUAGGAGAUUGGUUUCCUUUUUGUUUACAAGUUCCAGCUUUUUCUAGUUGUCCAAACUCCAAUUGUUUUCAUAUGGAACACUGUCAGAAAAUUGGGGAAGACAGUAUUUGCAUGAGUGAGGCUGUUGCAUGACUUGCGUUCGGGUUCUUCACAACAGUAAGGUUGAAGGGUUUUAAUUUUUAAUGAAAAAAUACUUAUAAAGCUCAGUUUGCAUAGUAAAUGAAAAUAAGAACCUUCUACUUCUUGUUUUCUGUUGAUGUUAAAAAAAAAAAUAAUAAUCCUUUUUGUGUGGUAUAUCUGACAACUUCAGAUGAAAGAGAAGCAUGUUAGUCUUACUAAGUAGCAGAGGGCAGUGCAUUGUUCCUCCCAUGCUUAUAGCAUUGCACUGAAGUGCUUACCUUGAUUUGUAGAAGAGAAUCUAAUCACAGAGCAGAACCUCAGAUUCAUCGCCUUUUAAGAGCUAGCCUGUGCAGCGCAGUGGAAUAAAACCUGGAGGAAGCAUAGACCUUGGUAACUGAUUGUGAAAACUACUUCUAGGUUGAUUUAUUUAAUACAAAAGUGUCUAUACUUGUACUAGCAAAUAGGAUGUGUCCAAUAAUGAUGACCCCACUGUCCCUCAGGUCUUCUCAACAGCUUUCUAAAUAAUCCUGUUAUUUUAAGAUAGUUCUACCUACUUUCUUCUCACCUGGAGUACCGAACUGAGGAAGAAAAUACAAAACCUAAGUGGGACAAUGUUACGUUAAUGUCUGCCACGCUGAAUGUUCACCAGUACUGCUGUGACUGCAAUCCACAUCUCUUAUCCAGGCCUCUCUCAAAGUACCUAAGUCUGCCUCAUCUCUUCUGGUUUAGCUGUACUCCUGUUGGACAGGAUCAACAGGUUCACGAUUUUCCCUUCCCAUAUCAGCACACUUAAUACUAGUUUCUGAGAGGCAGGUUGUAAUUAAAAACCAUGAAUACAAGAAGUGUGCUAGGGUUUUGGCAGGGGUGGGAGUGGGUAUUAUAUGGUACUGAGCAAACCCAUCCUCAGCUGAUUGGGUCCUGUCUGAGGUAGGACAGGACUUGAAAAGCGAAGUUGUGCUGCAGUAUCUUUGGGUUGCUUCUGUAAGCCAAGGCUGUUCAUCACCAGAUUGGGAAGAAAAUGAGAACAGGGUCUUUUGAUGGGGAUCCCAUCAACCAAGGAAUAGUUUAGUGUGGAUUCUGGAGUUAUUCUUGACUCCUUAGUGAAGAGCUGUGACCUCGAUGCUACAGCAUUAGGAUAGCUGUGGAGUGGAAAGCUUAUUUAUUUAGGCAGUGCACUCUGACAGCCACACUAAGCCCAAACUUGGAACACUGGGAAUGGGUAGAAGUUUUGCUAGUUAGAUCUGCAACAGUGCUAUGUGGACUGGAUGAUGUAUGUAAUACACUGGAUUAGGUCUAAUCCUGGGGAUAGGACCAAGAUGUGUGCAAUGCACUUGAGUGUAUGUAUCCUUCUUUGUAACAGCUCCAUUCACUGCUAGCAUGGACGGGAUGCAUACUCCCUCCUUCAGCAUGUUGCAUCUCAUUAGCAGUCUCUUUCCGUGGAGUGUAAGAAACUCCUUUUGACCGGGGCAUGUUGUUUACUUCCAAACCUGUGUACAGCUGGCAUAAAUCCCUCCAGGCUGUGGUCAGAGCUGGAAGCUGGCCAUUAGUACAGGCUUCUUCUUUGUCAUGGUAUAGACUUAAAGAAAGGAAAGCAGGUGCCCUCCUGGCAUUUUAUAAAGAGUCAUUCAUGAAUACAAGAUACUGCAUUUUGCAUAUUAGUGUGAGUGCCAAUAUAAACCCAGCUGUGUGCAAAAUAAAGUGAAAUAUGUAUUUCAAAAACUAGGCCACAGCUUUUCUAUGGCGCAAUCUGAAAUCAUUUGAAUCAACUUUGCAUAUGCAUAGCCUUUUCUUUUGAAAUUAUAUUUUACCUUUUUUUUUUUUCUUUUCUUUUUUUUUUUCCAGUGUGUUGAUUUUAUGACGCUUUUCCUAAGGUAAUAAGACAAUACCACAAGCACAGGCUAAGGAAAACACAGGCAGAUG
ensembl:lncRNA